GCGAGACUUUGGAGUUGGAGGCCACUUCAAACUGUGGAAAUCAGGACCAUAUGCCCAGCCAUCAUCGUCAACGGGGGAAGAUUUAUCAAUAAUCCAAGAAGAUGUCCAUUGCCAUCCAGGAGGAGGGGAAGGUUCAAAAAAAUCAUUUGAUGAAUAUGAGAAAUCUCUGGUGCUCCAUCGCCCUGGAUCAUUACUUUUAAAGCUAGGCCACUUGUUACCCCAACCAGAAAUAGGAUGAUAACAUUGAUUUUCAAAGAUCUCAUCUAUCACAAUAUUAAUGUUGCUUCUCCCUGAAGAAGAAAC
rnacentral:misc_RNA from 1 species